rnacentral:tRNA from 1 species
GCUAAGUUAGCACAACGGUAGUGCAGUGCAUUUGUAAUGCGAAGGUUGGUUGGGUUCGAAUCCCCCACUUAGCUCAA